CAAGGCAAGUGGGAAAAGCCUGGUAAAGUUCCAGCUUCUCCAUGGAGGGGCGGGAGGGGGGUGAGGGGGACACAUAUUCCCUGAUAUCCGGGCAACCAGAGUCGGUCCAUAGGAGUGAGUCUGCCCUAGACACCAAGCUUCAAUGGCAAUGAUUCCAAAACCUGACUUUAAAACACCCUAGGGUGUCGCCAACGAACAAAGGCUGCCUCAAAACCAAAUUAAGUUCCCUUUAAUUAAAGAUCAUAACAUACGCCACAGAACACUCUGUCACGGUAGGGGGAAGGAAGAGACUGUCACAUAAAAUAAAUAGGGUUCCACAACUCACAAAAAUUAAGCAUCUCACAGAAAGAGCUCUGCACUUUGCUGAUUUGUGAACAGCCAUCCUCAUUGCCACCUUGGAAACCGCUUGUGAGAGGCAGAGUGGAGGCCACCAUUUAGUGCCAAUAAACAGAAGGCCUGGUUUCUUCAAAAGAAACACAAGAAAUUGUUUCCUGGUUUUGCCACAGAGAUUGGGUCACAGAGUGCCACCUAAAUGGUAUUACCAUAUUUGUGUUGUCGCCUCUUGGUUUGAAAUUUAUUCCUGGUAUGACUUGUGUCUCCCCUUGUUCCAUCUCUGACACCCAAGCCCAUGGGAUGACAACCCAGGCUGAGAUGUCCCAUGUGUCACAAAGGAGUCCUUCAGUAUUUCCAGGAAUAGUUGGAACCAGCACUCCAUCCCCUACCUGGACCUGGCACCCUCUCUACUCUUGUCAAUUCUACACUAAUCACAGGAAGAAGGUGGAAUUAGUCCAAGCUGGGUUUUCAGAAAUAACUUGUAGACAUGCAACAGAUGUUUAUAACCCUCAGAAGCGGAAGGAAACUUGGAAACCCUCUCUUUCGGUGACUUUUUUUCUAAUGAUUGUCUCUGCCAUGAAAUUCUAACUUCAAAUGAAAUCUUUGGCAGGAACCCAGGGCUGUUCUGUCAAGGUUCAGCUGCAGGACCAGAGCCCCUUCCACCUAACCCCCACUCCUAUCCUGAUGCUUCCUGAGGCACAUCUGCUGUGGUUUCUCACCAGAGAACAGUCUGCAAAAUCACUGCACCUUGUCCAACUCCAUUUUCCAACUGAGAAGACUUGGCCCAGAGAAGUGCACAGACUUGAGGGAAGUAACACAGCAAUCGGACAGACAGACAUCCCCAGAUAUACCUGCUACGGUCCUGGGAGAAAAUAGAGACCCAUCCCCAAAUACCAUCAUCCUCAUCAUUCUCUGUAGCCCAAUCAAAUGAUGCUCCAGGCCUGAGAUUUUAUCCAAUGAACACUCUGUACAUCUUUAAAAGAGAUAUGUACUUGUCUUAUUCCUCCUUUCCUUUCUUUAAAAAAAAACACAGGCCCCAGAUCCAGUCAUUCUAAAUAGGAAGGAAAAACAUAACCCACUGAGGCAAUGGAUGCUGUUUCUCUCCCUGCUCUGUGACUUUAGUUUGCCUUUAAAGCCCAUUUUCACCAUUUAUUGAUUUUAGUUUUCUACUUGUCUAUGAAUGACAACUUGAAUUAAGACAACGCAGGCUGAAAAGCCGCUAGGCAGUGCUAAAUGGACAAGCUACACUUCGUGGCAGGAUGUCUCAUGACCGUGCCACCUUCUGCCUAGCCCCAUUCUCUGGAGGAGCUGUGGGCAGACCGACCCCAGCCUGGCCGCCUGGCAUGGGGACUGGUUGCGUCAGAUCGGAGCUCUGAGAUAAGGGUGGGCCAGGGCAUGAUCAUCACCACUGCCAGCCUCGAAGCCUCUUUGCUGACCUGGAGGUGAUCUGUGUAUCAAAGGGGGCUGUGUAUUCAACAGCACUUCCAGAAGAGGCCAAAGAUCUGUCUCUACUUCAGCCUCCACUGGGCAGAAAACUAAGCCUAUUUGCUCUAGGCCCUUCAGACUUGCACUUGGAGAAAGAAAACUCACUAAGUCAGCCCUUAUGUAACUCCACUCUCCUCUCUUCCAAACCUCCUUGCUUUGGACAAAUAUUUGACAGAAAAUGCCCUUUUGCAACGCCUUAAAAGUUACAAAAAUGGUGCACCCUAUCCUUUAAUCUGUACUGUAAAUAAAAAAUAUUAACACAAACCCUUUAACCCAGAAAUCCUACUUUUACAAAUCCAUCUUAAGAACGUAAUCAGGGCUCCUUAGGACACCAGG
rnacentral:lncRNA from 1 species